rnacentral:sRNA from 1 species
GCUCCUCUUCAAGCUUCAACAAGACAUACUGUAUCUUCUGAAGUUCCAAUUCCAACUUUGCGACCUUUUCUGAUCCUUUCUGCACUUGCUCUGAGAUUUUUCUUCUGCUGGAAUAGCCUUCUAGUUCAGCACUCACCUCAAAUGCAGGCUGAGCUCUGAUGCUGCUGUAUUCAGAGCUUACGGUAGAUUUUCCCUUAGAAGCACCCACCAUUUUCUGCUUUAUUUCUUCAAUGCUGGCUUGGACAAUAGACAGCCUCUGAGCAUCAGAAGCUAGUUUAUCAAGGACAUUUUUGCUCCACAAUUGCUGAGGUUCCAGGGACACUGCUGAUAUCUCAAGCCUGUCAAUUCCUGGAUCUCUUCCCCUUGCUAGUUCAAACGAAGGUCUCCCACAGUUGAAGCAUCUCAUCGUCAAGCUCCACAUUUGCAUCGCCACCAAGAGGGUAGAUGGUGGCACCAGUACCAUAUAGUGCACAAGUAGAUACUUGAUCAAGUUCGAUGUCUUUCAUGAUCUGUACAUGUUUCCCUUUGGAGUUAUCAGCAUCAUACUUUUGCCUAUCAUCCUCGGUGCAUUCUUCCUUAGCAUUCGAGCCUUUUCUUGCUUUAAGCUCUUGAAUUUCCAUAUUUGCCGCUUCCAGUUGAGCAACAGAUUCAGUAAACUCCUUAUCUCGGCGGCCUUUGGCAUCCAGUAUUACAACAUGGAGUGCUUCAACUCUUGCAAUUAAGCUUCGCAACUUCAAAGCUCC